GGUGCAAAUGAUGUUUGUCGCGACCAAAGUAUGAAAAAAAAAAAAUGAUUCUUACUUUUUAGACUACUGAUGCACC